UAAGCUAAAGUCCGCUGGAUUUAGACGUUUAGUUGUUAACUAAAAUUUCGUGGGAUUAAGGCCCUCUAGCUUAG
rnacentral:tRNA from 1 species